UAGGGAAUCUUCGGCAAUGGACGAAAGUCUGACCGAGCAACGCCGCGUGAGUGAAGAAGGUUUUCGGAUCGUAAAACUCUGUUGUUAGAGAAGAACAAGGACGUUAGUAACUGAACGUCCCCUGACGGUAUCUAACCAGAAAGCCACGGCUAACUACGUGCCAGCAGCCGCGGUUAUACGUAGGUGGCAAGCGUUGUCCGGAGUUAUUGGGCGUAAAGCGAGCGCAGGCGGUUUCUUAAGUCUGAUGUGAAAGCCCACGGCUAAACCGGGGAGGGUCAUUGGAAACUGGGAGACUUGAGUGCAGAAGAGGAGAGUGGAAUUCCAUGUGUAGCGGUGAAAUGCGUAGAUAUAUGGAGGAACACCAGUGGCGAAGGCGGCUCUCUGGUCUGUAACUGACGCUGAGGCUCGAAAGCGUGGGGAGCAAACAGG
rnacentral:rRNA from 1 species